rnacentral:tRNA from 1 species
GCCGCGUUCGUCUAGAGGCCUAGGACGCCGCCCUUUCACGGCGGUAGCACGGGUUCGAAUCCCGUACGCGGUAC